UCAUGUGCAAGUUUAUUCCCAAACUUUUCUUCCCUGUCGAUAACCUUUGUGCCUCCAUCUCUCUCAAUUACCCCAUCUUCUUUACCCUCUCCUUUCCCUCCCACAUCAGUCACCACAUACCAUCUCCGAUCAAGCCGCCACCGCCGACCAACCUAUAAUCUUGCAAUCCCUGCAAGCUUAUAACCCCUAAAUUUUUUAAGUUGCUUUCAUAGACACCAUCCACCAUAUAAGUUAAGGCGCCAUCCACCUCCCAUCGAUCAACCAUCGCCGCCCAAUCACACGUCUGCCUAAGGUGACUCAUUUUACUCCAGGAUUAAAUUAAUUUCUUUCUUGAUUUAUAUUCCUGAUUUGUACAUAUUUUUUUAGCCUUUUUAGGUUUACUUUCCAUAUAGCUAGUCAUUAGAUUUCUCAAUUUAUUAUUAUAUGUAGAUAAAUCAUUCUCCUUAAAGUUGUGUUCAAAAUAAAUUUUCUCUAAUUUCUAAGUAUUAAGCAAAGAAAGUUCAAAAUUUCAAUGUUAUACUGUGCAGCAUGAACUAUAACUCCACUUCAAACAUUCACGGUAAGUUAAAAGGCCAUACCAUAUUUCUGAAUUGUUUUGAUUAAUAAGGGUAUGACUCUUGGCUUGAUAUCAUCUGGCUUCAACACAACCUUUUGGAUAGUAGUAUAAUGUGAAAUGAGACACAUUAAAAUUGGAUAGUAGUAUAAUGUGAAAUGAGAAACGUUAAAAUUGGAUUUUGGGUAAAAAUAAGAGUUUGGGAAGAUAGAAUAGAAACCAAGAUGAUUGUUUUAGGGUGAAGAAAGCACGGGCGGACCCAAGGGGGUCCUGGGGGGUCACUUGAACCCCCCCCCCCCCCCCCAAAAAAAAAACAAAUCUUUUGUGAUUUUCCCUUUUUUUUUUUUGUGAUAAAAUCUUGUUUGGUAUUGAUCGGAAUCUAAAUUUUAAUCUAAAUUAAAGUCAGCAAUUAAUUUUAAUAACAUAUUUUAAUGGAUUCCUUAACUUUUUAAGUUUUAUUGAAAUUUAUUGAAAAUCGGACUUUAAUCUUCACCAAACAAGGACAAGAUCACAAUAAAUUUGAAUUUUUCUCUCUUUUUUAUUGUUCUAUCUUAUUCUCUCCAUCAUGCCUUUUAUUAAAACCUUAAUCCUUCUAAUUUUUUAAAAUUUAUUUUUAAUUUCUCAAGAAUUAUCACUACUACAAAUUUUCACUUUUCAAUCAAAUUUUCAACUAAUUGGAACCUAAAUUUGCAUUUUCUCCCAUCCUAUUUCUGUAUAUAACACGUGUCUAAACUGAUUAUAUAAAAUUUAACUUAUAUCUAACGAAUUGUGUUUAUUUGACUGAAUAUUAGUAUUGGAUAUUGAUUAUAUGUUUUUCCUUUCGAUUACUUGAAUUGAUUAUUUGUAUCAAAUAUACAAUUUUUUAAAAUAUAAAUAUGCAUUUUCUUGUGAUGAGCAAAAUUGAUGAAAAAUAUUUUUUAAAUGUAAAUCUGCAUUUUUUUUGGGUCAAAUAUGAAUCAUUCAAAAAUCAAGAACAAAAUAUUCGAUUUGUACAAAAUUUGAUUGUGCCCUUCUAGCUCAAAUUUUCUGUGUCCGUCCCUGGAAGAGAGUACACGGAUUGAUCACCAUCUCAUAUUCUACUAAAGCUCAGUUUGCUUGUAUCUCCAUAAUUUCAUUUCGGGUGAAAUUAUUUCGCCUAAUGCCUCUUUGCUGAAUUUUGAAUCAAUUAGGCAAAAAUUGUGCAUCAUUAAAGAUAGAAUCAAUUAGGCAACAAUUGUACAUCAUUGAAGCAACAAACCCUUUGUGUUGCAGAAUAAAUUUAUCUACAAGCACAACUUGAAACCGAAAACUAACAAUAUCAAAAUGUCAGAAAUAACGUUAGGAACAAACUGCCUAGAGACCCUAUCGCCUAAAAAUGCUGCACGCGCCCUCACGUGCCGGAGAGACUCUCUGUGCCCGGUUACCAUGCGUUGCCGUCAGUGACACGCACUGACCACCAGGACUACCUCCACCUACACGUCACACCACUGGUCUCCGUUUCUGCCAAACUCUUUCUAGAUUGGUCGAAAAUCACGAAAAUAGAGGUUGAUUUUAAGCAAUUUUUUAGACAAUUUUUCGAUCUGGUUUUUACUUCAUUUCUGCGGAUUUUUUGGACAUUUUCUAGUAGGUUUCUGUGGCACUGGCAGAGGAGAGCAGUGCAAUAUUACAAAAUAAACUACCUCCCAAACUCAAGGAUCCCGAGGUUUCACUUUACCCAUUUCAAUUGGAGAAACUGGUUUUUUCAAUACUUUAUGUGAUACAGGCACAAGUAUUAAUUUAAUGCCUUUAUAUGUCUUCAAGAAAUUGGGAUUAUGGAAAGCAAAAGAAACAACAAUGUUAUUGCAACUGGCUGAUAAAAACAUCAAAUAUCCAAGAGGUAACAUUGAGGCUAUACUCAUCAAGGCUGGCAAAUUUAUAUUUCCAACAAACUUUAUUGUUCUAUACAUAGAAGAAGAUAGAGAUAUUCUAAUAAUCUUAGAACGUCUAUUCUUAACAACAGGUCAAAUUUUGAUUGAUAUGGAGAAAUGUGAACUAAUAUUGAGAGUUUAUAAGGAACAAUAAGUUUUUAAAAUACACAAUGCAUCCAAACAACCAUCAAACCUCGAUGAAUAUAAGUAUAUUCAUGAAGAUGAACUAUCCAUUCAACAAAACUGUCAAAAUAGAAAACCAAAUUUUGGAGGAAUUAUUGGCAAGGACAAUAACGGAGAAUUCAUAGUUUAGAGAGAUAAAAGGGGAUGCAAGGCUAGAAAUUGCAAGGAGUACAAGGCAAAACAUUUUAAUUUAAACCACCUUAAGGAAAUCACCCCAAAAGUUGAGCUCUAAGCUAUAAAACGAGUGCUUAAUGGGAAGCAACCCAUUUUCUAUCACUUUUCACUUAUUUUGAUUAAUUAUUGCAUUACAAGUAGUUUUAGGGAUUGCAUAAACUUAAGAACUCGAGCAUUUAAAUGAUUUGCUUCGAACACAUUUUAGGUAGUACUUUAAGACUAGCAUUAGUAAUUUAGGCAUGUUUACUUAUUGGGUUUAUUUUUACUUAAACUCAUCGUUAACAUCCUAGCAUUAUAUUAAGCUUACCUUGAUGUGAUAUGAAUUAUUAAGGUUUGCACUUAGACUUCAAUAUCCUACCUAUUUUGAAAGACUUAUAUUUUCCUAGCAAUAGGAUUUUUGUAGGGACGACACUUUGUCCAAACAUUAGAUGAUUAGAAAUUUUUUGGUGUGAAUUCAUUACAAAUAUUUAAACCUUAUUCACUAUCACUAAUAUUUAUUUUGAAUGCUUGAAAGAGAAAAUUAAAGCCUAGCAAUAAAGAAAAGUGGCAGUUGAAAUGACUUCUCCUAGCUGAGCCAACUUGAUCAUUCUACCUAUCAGCAUCUAUCCUGACGAGUUACUGAUCCUUACUAU
rnacentral:lncRNA from 1 species